UCUCGUUGAGGUCAUUUCAGGUCUUAAAUCGUGUGAUUUCGUAUCGGAACGGUAGUCCUCUUCUCAUCUGACGAAGAUGGCAAGAAAACGCUUUCUUCAUUUGGCCGUACUUAUCAUCUUUAUUCUCACUGCGUGUUGCCUCUCUGGAAACUACGCAUCACAAUCUACCGAGCAAAAAGCUAGCAUUCUGGUAAGCAAAAGGAACGCUCAAAGCUUUUUGGGGAAACCUCGGAGCCGACAUCGACGCAGUGUUUGCGAAGAAAAGAGAGAAUGCUGCGAGGAGGUCGGCGAGGGCAUUCAUUUGGAGGAGCAAGAGGAGUGCAUAGAAGAAACCGGAACACGCCCCACGAAGUAUAACUGCCCUCCGCCUUGCUAUUACGGCCGUUAGAUUGAUGAAACAUUUGAUUUGCAAGGGAGAGGGGGAAAAGGUUGAGUCUGCUAAUGAUGCAUUUUUUACAUAUCCUGUAACUGAAUGAAAUAGACAAAACUGAUAAAUAAAUGUUUACCUAGCAAAGAUCAUUUAUCACCUUACUAGAUACUGUUUUGAAACCUUUUCUGAGAGUGAGAGACAGACAGACAGACAGACAGACAGACAGACAGACAGACAGAGUGAUGUGGGCAUUUGCCACAGUAUAUGUAGCAAAUACGGAGGCUGGGUAUUUUUUUUUAGAUAGAUAGAUAGAUAGAUUCUUUAUUAAAAUACAUCCAGCUCGUAGAGCUCAAUUACGUAUUUGCAUUAAGGUUCUAAUUAAAUAUACAAACUUACAAAUUGAAUAAAGCGGUUUUCAAUUGAGUGUCGAAAGUAAUCAAGCAAUUACUU